rnacentral:rRNA from 1 species
UACAGAGGUGGCAAGCGUUGUUCGGAAUUACUGGGCGUAAAGGGCGCGUAGGCGGCCUUCUAAGUCAGACGUGAAAUCCCCCGGCUUAACCUGGGAACUGCGUCUGAUACUGGGAGGCUUGAGUAUGGGAGAGGGAUGUAGAAUUCCAGGUGUAGCGGUGAAAUGCGUAGAUAUCUGGAGGAAUACCGGUGGCGAAGGCGGCAUCCUGGACCAUAACUGACGCUGAGGUGCGAAAGCGUGGGGAGCAAACAGG